rnacentral:rRNA from 1 species
GGCAUCAGGAAGAAGCUUGCUUUCUUUGCUGGCGACCGGCGCACGGGUGAGUAACACGUAUCCAACCUGCCCUUUACUCGGGGAUAGCCUUUCGAAAGAAAGAUUAAUACCCGAUGGCAUAAUGAUUCCGCAUGGUUUCAUUAUUAAAGGAUUCCGGUAAAGGAUGGGGAUGCGUUCCAUUAGGUUGUUGGUGAGGUAACGGCUCACCAAGCCUUCGAUGGAUAGGGGUUCUGAGAGGAAGGUCCCCCACAUUGGAACUGAGACACGGUCCAAACUCCUACGGGAGGCAGCAGUGAGGAAUAUUGGUCAAUGGGCGCUAGCCUGAACCAGCCAAGUAGCGUGAAGGAUGAAGGCUCUAUGGGUCGUAAACUUCUUUUAUAUAAGAAUAAAGUGCAGUAUGUAUACUGUUUUGUAUGUAUUAUAUGAAUAAGGAUCGGCUAACUCCGUGCCAGCAGCCGCGGUAAUACGGAGGAUCCGAGCGUUAUCCGGAUUUAUUGGGUUUAAAGGGAGCGUAGGUGGACUGGUAAGUCAGUUGUGAAAGUUUGCGGCUCAACCGUAAAAUUGCAGUUGAUACUGUCAGUCUUGAGUACAGUAGAGGUGGGCGGAAUUCGUGGUGUAGCGGUGAAAUGCUUAGAUAUCACGAAGAACUCCGAUUGCGAAGGCAGCUCACUGGACUGCAACUGACACUGAUGCU